rnacentral:rRNA from 1 species
CAGCCGCCGCGGGAAUACGGAGGGUGCAAGCGUUAAUCGGAAUUACUGGGCGUAAAGCGCACGCAGGCGGUCUGUCAAGUCAGAUGUGAAAUCCCCGGGCUUAACCUGGGAACUGCAUUUGAAACUGGCAGGCUAGAGUCUUGUAGAGGGGGGUAGAAUUCCAGGUGUAGCGGUGAAAUGCGUAGAGAUCUGGAGGAAUACCGGUGGCGAAGGCGGCCCCCUGGACAAAGACUGACGCUCAGGUGCGAAAGCGUGGGGAGCAAACAGGAUUAGAUACCCUGUAGUCCCUGUCUCUUAUACC